rnacentral:rRNA from 1 species
GAGGUGCAGCGUUGUCCGGAAUUAUUGGGCGUAAAGCGCGCGCAGGCGGUUCUUUAAGUCUGAUGUGAAAGCCCACGGGCUCAACCGUGGAGGGUCAUUGGAAACUGGAGAACUUGAGUACAGAAGAGGAAAGCGGAAUUCCACGUGUAGCGGUGAAAUGCGUAGAGAUGUGGAGGAACACCAGUGGCGAAGGCGGCUUUCUGGCCUGUAACUGACGCUGAGGCGCGAAAGCGUGGGGAGCAAACAGGAUUAGAUACCCUGGUAGUCCACGCCGUAAACGAUGAGUGCUAAGUGUUAGGGGGUUUCCGCCCCUUAGUGCUGCAGCUAACGCAUUAAGCACUCCGCCUGGGGAGUACGGCCGCAAGGCUG